rnacentral:lncRNA from 1 species
GUUAGCAAUAAAUGACAGUUCCUGUUUCUCAUUGUCUCCAGCAUUUGGAAUCCUCAUUUUAAAAUUUUUAUUUUUGGCCAUUCUGACAGAUGUAUAGUGGUAUCUCAUUUGGUUUGAACUUGCAUUUCCCUAAUGAUAAUUGGGUUGUUUAUUUUCUUGUUAGGUUUUAAAAGCUUUUAUUUUUUUAAAAAAACAUUAAGGAUACAAGUCUUUUAUCAGAUAUGUGAUCUGCAAAUAUUUUUUCCAGUCUGUGAUUUGUCUUUUCAUUUUUUUUUUUUAUUUUUUUCAGAUCGAGCCUCACUGUGUUGCCCAGGCUGGUCUCAAACUCCUGAACUCAAUGAAUCCUCCCAUCUCAGCCCCCCAAGUAGCUAGGACAAUGGGCACAUGCCACCACACCUGGCAGUCUUUUUAUUUUCUUAUCAGUGUCUUUCUAGAACAAAAGUUUCUUAUUUUGACUCUGCAAUGAUACAUGAGAGAGCAGAGACCAUGGAGGAAAGAGAGAAGGACAGGAAAUUCUGGGCUGUGUGGGAAUUAAGAGUGCCAGUAUGGAAGCUUAACCUGGUGUCCAUAGCAUCCAAGCAUUUGUGGAUCCUGUGGCCUCUGCCUACACUUUGGAAGAGGCCUGCCCCUUUCCUCCUGGGGGCUCAGGUUGUCCCUGAUUGGAAGGGCAUGUGGUAGACAAUUUACCGGGGCCCAGGGUGGCCAUCCUGGCUACUGCCACCAAUUUCACUUUUGCUCAUAAAACAGCAGAGAAUAGAGACUGUUAAGUUCAAGGUUUUCCUUGAGUUGGUUUCUUGGUUUGGUCACUCAGAAUUAUAAAAGUCAUGGAAUGUUAUUUCUGGAAGGGACUCUGGAGAUACAGGCCUAUAUUUUCUGAUUCCCAAUUUAGAACAGAGGAUGGGCACAUGAUCUCCCUGAGGGGUAUGUGUGUUUCCUACAAAAUAAUUAGAGGCUUUUCCCACUUGGUCACCCAUUCUUCCUUGUGCUUUUCUAACCCCCAGCCUUGACCCUGGCAGGGCCGUCUCUCUAGGGUGCCUGCUUUCAAUUUUUUUUCUCUUUCUGGAUUUGUCUUUCAAGAGCCAGCUCAAAUGUCUCCUUGCUGUGUAAUUUGCUAUCUCUGAUUCUCUUCCCACCCUUCCCUGGCAAAAUGAAUCACUCUCUUAUCUGCUUUGAUAUAGCACUUUAAUGUAGCUAUUUUGACAUUCUGUUAAAAGUACACUUCUGUGUAUGUCUCCCCUGCUAAUGUGUCAGUGCCUAGAAGGCAAGAAGGGUGCUUAUCCCCAUCCCAUAGUGGGAGCACAGAGGCUUGCAGGAAUGCUUGUUGCCUUGAACCUGACUCCACUCCUUAUUGUAAAGGCAAAGAAACUGAGGAUAAGUAACCUGCAUCAUCCCUUCCCCAGAAAUUCCCUUUUCCUAACAAUUGAUUGACCUGUAUUCAAUAUAUCUGGGAGCCAAGGGUCGGUGCUAAAUUCUUUCUUUAAAUUAUUUUUAGCAUGGAGAACCCGCGAUUACUCUCUAUAUAAUUGGCAUGAGCAAGUGCUUAGGACUUAAGUAAGCAGACUUGAUAAUAAACAUUUUGCAGUCUUAAAUGCACAAACGCUUCUGCUUCUGGUAAGAUUAGUUGACAAAACUAUAGGAGGCCGCUAGAG